CCAGGAUUCCCAUAGUACGGCGAGUGAACUGGGAGAAGCCCAACGCUGAAUCUUUCGAUGUAAUAUCGUUAAGAAAUGUAGCGUAUAGGUAUGAUUGUCAUUAUGUUCGGCACUAUCCAAAGUUCCUUUGAUAGGGGCCAUAUUCCAGAGAGGGUGCAAGACCUGUUCGGAUAGCUGAACAUAGUGUACGAUUAUACUUUGGAGUCGGGUUGCUUGAAAGUGCAGCCUUAAGUGGGUGAUAAACUUCAUCUAAGGCUAAAUAUGGACGCGAAUUCGAUAGCAAACAAGUACUGUGAAGGAAAGUUGCAAAGAACUUUGAAGAGAGAGUUCAAGAGAACGUGAAAUCGUUGAAGUGGAAACGGAGAGAGUUGACGUAGUCUGGUGAAUAAGUACUACAAGAAUCGCUUUCACAUAAAGUGAUCGAGUAUUAUGUAUGUCACCAAUGAUUGCGCUGACAGCAUCGAUUACACGCUCUAAAUCAUAUUUUAACAUGUUGCCUACUCUAAUAUAUAGAGUGGUGUCUUAUGUUGUAAUGAUUAUGGUUUGUUGUAUGUUGAUGUUGAUAAGUAUAGAGUAUUUUAUGUCGGUGUAAAAGUCAACUACCUCUCCGACCCGUCUUGAAACACGGACCGAGGAGUGUAACUUGUACGCGAGUCAAUAGGUGAAAAACCCUAAGGCGAAAUGAAAGUGAAGGCGCGGUUAACCGGCUGACAUGGGAAAUGUGCGGCAUUCUAUAGCCAAACAUCACACCAUGGCCCUGUUUUAUCUGCAUGCAGAUGGGCAGCGGUAGAGCGUACAGGUUGCGACCCGAAAGAUGGUGAACUAUGCCUGAGCAGGACGAAGUCAGAGGAAACUCUGAUGGAAGUCCGUAUCGGUUCUGACGUGCAAAUCGAUCGAUAGACUUGGGUAUAGGGGCGAAAGACUAAUCGAACC
rnacentral:rRNA from 1 species